GAGGGUAUAGCUCAAGUGGUAGAGUGCAUGCUUAGUGUGCAUGAGGCUUUGGGUUCAAUCCCCGGUACCUCCA
rfam:Camelus ferus unplaced genomic scaffold scaffold2231, whole genome shotgun sequence.